rnacentral:rRNA from 1 species
UUACGGGGGAUACCUUGGCAUCUAGAAGCGAAGAAGGGCGUAGUUACCAACGAAAUGCUUCGGGAAGCUGGAUACAAGCUUUGAUCCGGAGGUGCCCGAAUGAGGAAACUCUUUAUACUAUUUACUGAAUUCAUAAGUAAAAAAGAGCAAACCUAGUAAACUGAAACAUCUUAGUAACUAGAGGAAAAAAAAGCAAAAGCGAUUCCCCUAGUAGCGGCGAGCGAAAAGGGAAUAGCCUAAACCAUUGAAAAUUUUUCAAUGGGGUAGUGGGACAGCGUUCAUUGUAAUUAGCAAAAGUUAGUUGAAAUAGCUGGAAUGCUAUGACAAGAUAAGGUAAUAGUCCUGUAAACGAAAACUUGAGCUAUUAUAGCUGGAUCCCGAGUAGCAUGGGACACGUGAAAUCCCGUGUGAAUCUGCGAGGACCACCUCGUAAGGCUAAAUAUUCCUAGAUGACCGAUAGCGAACCAGUACCGUGAGGGAAAGGUGAAAAGAACCCCGGAAGGGGAGUGAAAAAGAACGUGAAACCGUAAGCCUACAAGCAGUGGAAGAACGACUUAACGUUUAACCUCGUGCCUGUUGAAGAAUGAGCCGGCGACUUGUAAGUAGUGGCAGGUUAAGGCAGAGAAUGCUGAAGCCAUAGUGAAAGCGAGCUCGAAAAGAGCGAAGGUCACUAUUUACAGACCCGAACCCAGAUGAUCUAACCAUGACCAGGGUGAAGCUUAGGUAACACUAAGUGGAGGUCCGAACCGACUGAUGUUGAAAAAUCAGCGGAUGAGUUGUGGUUAGGGGUGAAAUACCAAUCGAAUUUGGAGCUAGCUGGUUCUCCCCGAAAUGUGUUGAGGCACAGCGGUUGAUGCUCAAGCUUAGGGGUAAAGCACUGUUUCGGUGCGGGCUGUGAAAACGGUACCAAAUCGAGGCAAACUCUAAAUACUAAGUGUGCAGUCAACCAGUCAGACAAUGAGGGAUAAGCUUCAUUGUCAAAAGGGAAACAGCCCAGACCACCAGUUAAGGCCCCAAAAUGAUUGCUAAGUGGUAAAGGAAGUGGGAACGCAUAGACAACCAGGAGGUUUGCCUAGAAGCAGCAAUCCUUUAAAGAGUGCGUAAUAGCUCACUGGUCAAGUGAUCCUGCGCCGAAAAUGAACGGGACUAAGUAAUCUGCCGAAACUGUGGGAUGUUUUUACAUCGGUAGGGGAGCGUUCCGCAUUAUAGACUGAAGCAUUAACGAAAGUGGAUGUGGACAAAGCGGAAGUGAGAAUGUCGGCUUGAGUAGCGAAAACAUUGGUGAGAAUCCAAUGCCCCGAAAACCCAAGGUUUCCUUCGGAAGGUUCGUCCGCGAAGGGUAAGUCAGGACCUAAGGCGAGGCUGAAAAGCGUAGUCGAUGGAUAACAGGCUAAUAUUCCUGUACCAUUUAUCGUUGACAAUGAGGGACGAAGAAGGCUAGACUAGCCAGAUUUUGGUUACUGGUUUAAAUUUUCGAGGCAAAGAUGAAUGGUGAAAACAUUCUGAGCUAAGAGAUGAAUACGUGGUGUUACGACACUAAAGUAGUUGAUGUCAGACUUCCAAGAAAAGCUCAUAAUGUCAUAAACGAUAAAUGCCUGUACCCUAAACCGACACAGGUGGGUAGGUAGAGUAUACCAAGGGGCGCGAGAUAACUCUCUCUAAGGAACUCGGCAAAAUAGCCCCGUAACUUCGGAAGAAGGGGUACCCUUUAAAGGGUUGCAAUAACUAGGCCCAAACGACUGUUUACCAAAAACACAGGUCUCCGCUAAAUCGCAAGAUGAUGUAUGGGGGCUGACGCCUGCCCAGUGCCGGAAGGUUAAAGAAACUGGUUAGUUGUAAGACAAAGCUAGUGACUGAAGCCCCGGUGAACGGCGGCCGUAACUAUAACGGUCCUAAGGUAGCGAAAUUCCUUGUCGGGUAAGUUCCGACCCGCACGAAAGGCGUAACGAUUUGGGCACUGUCUCGGAGAGAGACUCGGCGAAAUAGAAAUGUCUGUGAAGAUGCGGACUACCUGCACCUGGACAGAAAGACCCUAUGAAGCUUUACUGUAACUUGGAAUUGAGUUCGGGCUUUUCUUGCGCAGUAUAGGUGGGAGGCUAUGAAAAUACUCUUGUGGGAGUGUUAGAGCCUUCAGUGAGAUACCACUCUGGGAAAGCUAGAAUUCUAACUUUGAGCCGUUAACCGGCCGAAGGACAGUUUCUGGUGGGCAGUUUGACUGGGGCGGUCGCCUCCUAAAAAGUAACGGAGGCGCGCAAAGGUUCCCUCAGGCUGGUCGGAAAUCAGUCGUAGAGUGUAAAGGCAAAAGGGAGCUUAACUGCAAGACCAACAAGUCAAGCAGAGACGAAAGUCGGCCUUAGUGAUCCGGCGGUACCGUGUGGAAGGGCCGUCGCUCAACGGAUAAAAGUUACUCUAGGGAUAACAGGCUAAUCUCCCCCAAGAGUUCACAUCGACGGGGAGGUUUGGCACCUCGAUGUCGGCUCAUCGCAACCUGGGGCGGAAGUACGUCCCAAGGGUUGGGCUGUUCGCCCAUGAAAGCGGUACGUGAGCUGGGUUCAGAACGUCGUGAGACAGUUCGGUCCAUAUCCGGUGCAGGCGUUAGAGUAUUGAGAGGAGCUCUCCCUAGUACGAGAGGACCGGGAGAAACACACCGCUGGUGUACCAGUUAUCGUGCCAAUGGUAAACGCUGGGUAGCCAUGUGUGGAUGUGAUAACCGCUGAAAGCAUCUAAGUGGGAAGCCAACCUCAAGAUGAGUACUCUCCCUUUUAAGGUAAGGUCACGGCAAGACGAGCCGUUAUAUAGACGCUAAGUGUAAGUACAGUAAUGUAUUAAGCUGAGGCGUACUAACAGACCGAAAACUU